GUGGGGAAUAUUGGACAAUGGGCGAAAGCCUGAUCCAGCCAUGCCGCGUGUGUGAAGAAGGUCUUCGGAUUGUAAAGCACUUUAAGUUGGGAGGAAGGGCAGUAAGUUAAUACCUUGCUGUUUUGACGUUACCAACAGAAUAAGCACCGGCUAACUUCGUGCCAGCAGCCGCGGUAAUACGAAGGGUGCAAGCGUUAAUCGGAAUUACUGGGCGUAAAGCGCGCGUAGGUGGUUCAGCAAGUUGGAGGUGAAAUCCCCGGGCUCAACCUGGGAACUGCCUCCAAAACUACUGAGCUAGAGUACGGUAGAGGGUAGUGGAAUUUCCUGUGUAGCGGUGAAAUGCGUAGAUAUAGGAAGGAACACCAGUGGCGAAGGCGACUACCUGGACUGAUACUGACACUGAGGUGCGAAAGCGUGGGGAGCAAACAGGAUUAGAUACCCGAGUAGUCC
rnacentral:rRNA from 1 species